AAUGAAUAUCGACCGGUAGCGUCGAUAUCUGUAACAUCUGGAUGAAGCAUUAGUUUAUUUUCUUUUCGUUUGACACUUGAUAUUGACAGACAACAUUGGCAGCUGUCAGUAACAACAGUGUUAAAUGCAAUGGUCAGAAAAUAAGUGUGAAAUUCCAGAAAAGACCCUUUGACAAUUCCAGCAUAUCGUGUACGCACUCAUGGAAGACGGCAAGAUAGAAAGUGGCGUGCAUAGGGCUGGUAGAUAAGAUUUUAACUCUCUUCCUGAAUAAGGAGGCAGCAAUGGCGAAGGGGAUCCAUGCAAGGAGGACCCAUGUAUUUAUAUUGGACUACUACUAUUUUACACCGCAAUUUAAAAUAGCGUAAGUUAAAAUAUUUCUGAUUUAAUGUUUGACACUUGCUGAAUAAAUCGGGUAAGGGAGCAGUCACUUACCUGUCUAAGAAAUGUAUAUCCCUGUUUCUCUUAGGUAAUUAGAAAUUUAAUUAUAUAGUUUAUAACAUUUUUGAGAGUAUAGGUAUUUGCUUUUUGUUGCCCUAUUCUAAGUCAUAUUAUUUAUUAUAUCAAAUAAACAACUUCUACCAUUUA
rnacentral:lncRNA from 1 species